GUGAUGACAGAAGAGAGAGAGCACAACCCAGCACCAGCGUGAAACACCGGCCGUCGGCCCGGUCGCUGAGGCAAGGGCCGUGUGCUCUCUGCUCUCUCUGUCAUGGCCA